rnacentral:rRNA from 1 species
CCUACGGGAGGCAGCAGUGGGGAAUUUUGGACAAUGGACGCAAGUCUGAUCCAGCCAUUCCGCGUGCAGGACGAAGGCCUUCGGGUUGUAAACUGCUUUUGUACGGAACGAAAAAGCUCUUAUUAAUACUAGGAGUCCAUGACGGUACCGUAAGAAUAAGCACCGGCUAACUACGUGCCAGCAGCCGCGGUAAUACGUAGGGUGCAAGCGUUAAUCGGAAUUACUGGGCGUAAAGCGUGCGCAGGCGGUUAUAUAAGACAGAUGUGAAAUCCCCGAGCUUAACUUGGGAACUGCAUUUGUGACUGUAUAGCUAGAGUACGGCAGAGGGGGAUGGAAUUCCGCGUGUAGCAGUGAAAUGCGUAGAUAUGCGGAGGAACACCGAUGGCGAAGGCAAUCCCCUGGGCCUGUACUGACGCUCAUGCACGAAAGCGUGGGGAGCAAACAGGAUUAGAUACCCUGGUAGUCCACGCCCUAAACGAUGUCAACUGGUUGUUGGGUCUUCACUGACUCAGUAACGAAGCUAACGCGUGAAGUUGACCGCCUGGGGAGUACGGCCGCAAGGUUGAAACGUACAAAGGAAGUUGACGG